AGUCGAGGGGUAUGUUCUUCGGAAUUAGAGACCGGCGCACGGGUGCGUAACGCGUAUGCAAUCUACCUUUUGCAGAGGGAUAGCCCAGAGAAAUUUGGAUUAAUACCUCAUAGUAUAGUGAUACCGCAUGGUACUGCUAUUAAAGUCACAACGGCAAAAGAUGAGCAUGCGUCCCAUUAGCUAGUUGGUAAGGUAACGGCUUACCAAGGCUACGAUGGGUAGGGGUCCUGAGAGGGAGAUCCCCCACACUGGUACUGAGACACGGACCAGACUCCUACGGGAGGCAGCAGUGAGGAAUAUUGGACAAUGGGCGCAAGCCUGAUCCAGCCAUGCCGCGUGCAGGAUGACGGUCCUAUGGAUUGUAAACUGCUUUUGUACAGGAAGAAACACUCCCUCGUGAGGGAGCUUGACGGUACUGUAAGAAUAAGGAUCGGCUAACUCCGUGCCAGCAGCCGCGGUAAUACGGAGGAUCCAAGCGUUAUCCGGAAUCAUUGGGUUUAAAGGGUCCGUAGGCGGUUUAGUAAGUCAGUGGUGAAAGCCCAUCGCUCAACGGUGGAACGGCCAUUGAUACUGCUAGACUUGAAUUAUUAGGAAGUAACUAGAAUAUGUAGUGUAGCGGUGAAAUGCUUAGAGAUUACAUGGAAUACCAAUUGCGAAGGCAGGUUACUACUAAUGGAUUGACGCUGAUGG
rnacentral:rRNA from 1 species